rnacentral:rRNA from 1 species
CCUACGGGGGGCAGCAGUGGGGAAUAUUGGACAAUGGGGGCAACCCUGAUCCAGCCAUGCCGCGUGUGUGAAGAAGGCCCUCGGGUUGUAAAGCACUUUCAGUGAGGAAGAACGCCUGGUGGUUAAUACCCAUCAGGAAAGACAUCACUCACAGAAGAAGCACCGGCUAACUCCGUGCCAGCAGCCGCGGUAAUACGGAGGGUGCGAGCGUUAAUCGGAAUUACUGGGCGUAAAGCGCGCGUAGGUGGCUUGAUAAGCCGGUUGUGAAAGCCCCGGGCUCAACCUGGGAACGGCAUCCGGAACUGUCAAGCUAGAGUGCAGGCGAGGAAGGUAGAAUUCCCGGUGUAGCGGUGAAAUGCGUAGAGAUCGGGAGGAAUACCAGUGGCGAAGGCGGCCUUCUGGACUGACACUGACACUGAGGUGCGAAAGCGUGGGUAGCAAACAGGAUUAGAUACCCCAGUAGUC